GGCUGGCCCGAAGGCAGUGAGUUAUCCCAAUUGAUUGUUCACGGCAGUCACAGGUUGGAGUCCCUGUUCUACCCUCCUCUCUUCUCACUACUGCACUCGACUAGUCUAAA
rnacentral:Y_RNA from 1 species